rnacentral:rRNA from 1 species
GACGGGACCCGCACAAGCGGUGGAUGAUGUGGUUUAAUUCGAUGCAACGCGAAAACCUUACCCACCUUUGACAUGGCAGGAAUCCUAAGAGAUUUGGGAGUGCUCGAAAGAGAACCUGCACACAGGUGCUGCAUGGCUGUCGUCAGCUCGUGUCGUGAGAUGUUGGGUUAAGUCCCGCAACGAGCGCAACCCUUGCCAUUAGUUGCUACGAAAGGGCACUCUAAUGGGACUGCCGGUGACAAACCGGAGGAAGGUGGGGAUGACGUCAAGUCCUCAUGGCCCUUAUAGGUGGGGCUACACACGUCAUACAAUGGCCGGUACAGAGGGUAGCCAACCCGCGAGGGGGAGCCAAUCCCACAAAGCCGGUCGUAGUCCGGAUCGCAGUCUGCAACUCGACUGCGUGAAGUCGGAAUCGCUAGUAAUCGUGGAUCAGCAUGUCACGGUGAAUACGUUCCCGGGUCUU